rnacentral:rRNA from 1 species
AUACGUAGGGAGCGAGCGUUGUCCGGAAUUACUGGGUGUAAAGGGAGCGUAGGCGGGAUGGCAAGUCAGAUGUGAAAACUAUGGGCUCAACCCAUAGACUGCAUUUGAAACUGCAACUCUUGAGUGAGGUAGAGGUAAGCGGAAUUCCUAGUGUAGCGGUGAAAUGCGUAGAUAUUAGGAGGAACAUCGGUGGCGAAGGCGGCUUACUGGGCCUUUACUGACGCUGAGGCACGAAAGCGUGGGGAGCAAACAGGAUUAGAUACCCUGGUAGUCCACGCUGUAAACGAUGAUGACUAGGUGUGGGGGGACUGAACCCUUCCGUGCCGCAGUUAACACAAUAAGUCAUCCACCUGGGGAGUACGACCGCAAGGUUGAAACUCAAAUGAAUUGACGGGG